rnacentral:rRNA from 1 species
GAUGAACGCUGGCGGCGUGCCUAAUACAUGCAAGUCGAGCGAACGGACGAGAAGCUUGCUUCUCUGAUGUUAGCGGCGGACGGGUGAGUAACACGUGGAUAACCUACCUAUAAGACUGGGAUAACUUCGGGAAACCGGAGCUAAUACCGGAUAAUAUUUUGAACCGCAUGGUUCAAAAGUGAAAGACGGUCUUGCUGUCACUUAUAGAUGGAUCCGCGCUGCAUUAGCUAGUUGGUAAGGUAACGGCUUACCAAGGCAACGAUGCAUAGCCGACCUGAGAGGGUGAUCGGCCACCCUGGAACUGAGACACGGUCCAGACUCCUACGGGAGGCAGCAGUAGGGAAUCUUCCGCAAUGGGCGAAAGCCUGACGGAGCAACGCCGCGUGAGUGAUGAAGGUCUUCGGAUCUUAAAACUCUGUUAUUAGGGAAGAACAUAUGUGUAAGUAACUGUGCACAUCUUGACGGUACCUAAUCAGAAAGCCACGGCUAACUACGUG